AUGCAAGUCUCAGUUCAACUCCCAGCACGAGUAAACCGCGAAUGGCUCAUUAAAUCAGUCAAGGUUCCUUAGAUGACACGAUCCUACUCGGAUAACUGUGGCAAUUCCAGAGCUAAUACGUGCGCACUUAAGCCCCGACCCCGGUUCGCGCCGAGGAAGGGGCGCUUUUAUUAGUUCAAAACCAGCCCGGCGGCGUGGGUCAAACCACGUCCCGGUGUCCUCGCUGGUGAGCUCUGAAUAACUUUCAGCUGAUCGCAAGGCCUUUUGCGCCGGCGACGCAUCUUUCAAAUGUCUGCCCUAUCAAAUGUCGAUGGUAGGUGACAUGCCUACCAUGUUGGCGACGGGUAACGGGGAAUCAGGGUUCGAUUCCGGAGAGGGAGCAUGAGAAACGGCUACCACA
rnacentral:rRNA from 1 species